rnacentral:rRNA from 1 species
ACGAACGCUGGCGGCAUGCCUAAUACAUGCAAGUAGAACGCUGAAGAGAGGAGCUUGCCCUUCUUGGAUGAGUUGCGAACGGGUGAGUAACGCGUAGGUAACCUGCCUUGUAGCGGGGGAUAACUAUUGGAAACGAUAGCUAAUACCGCAUAACAAUGGAUGACACAUGUCAUUUAUUUGAAAGGGGCAAUUGCUCCACUACAAGAUGGACCUGCGUUGUAUUAGCUAGUAGGUGAGGUAAUGGCUCACCUAGGCGACGAUACAUAGCCGACCUGAGAGGGUGAUCGGCCACACUGGGACUGAGACACGGCCCAGACUCCUACGGGAGGCAGCAGUAGGGAAUCUUCGGCAAUGGGGGCAACCCUGACCGAGCAACGCCGCGUGAGUGAAGAAGGUUUUCGGAUCGUAAAGCUCUGUUGUAAGUCAAGAACGGGUGUGAGAGUGGAAAGUUCACACUGUGACGGUAGCUUACCAGAAAGGGACGGCUAACUACGUG